UUUUCAAAAUUGACAGCUGCUACAUUCAAGCAUUAUUCUGCCUAAAAUUGUGACCAAAACGUACCUAGAUAAUAUAUCUACCUCCUGCGAGCAAUCAAUUUUUAAAUAAACUUGAUGAAAGUGCCUGUUAGAGUCGAUAAUUUCAGAUAAUUUUUAUUUUCUCUUUCUUUCAUGCAGACAUCAUCAUUUCACAACUAAUUUGAAAUAAACUUGCGUAUCUAUGACAAAAAUCCAUAAUAUCAUUACAAGGGCAAUACACACAAAGGUCAGAUGUGUCAAUUUAAUUUUUAGAAACGGUUGCAGUCACAAAGUAAUUGACAGAAUUAAAUGUAAAUUUCAGCAUAUUUUUUCACAUAAAAAUGUGUUAGUGAGUAGAAAUGCGAUCUAGCUGAGCACAUGGUCUUAUGGAUUACAUAAUUUUCGGCGCUUAACGUGAAAACAGUAAAGGCGCAGGAUUCACAAACAUUAAAUUUAUGCUUAAAUCUAUAUGCGAUUCAUUAUGCAUAUAAUUAUAAUUCACGAUAAUAUCGCAUAUGGAAGUAACUGGAAUAAAUUCGGACUAUUUCCUUCGGAAGUUUACAUGACUGUGCAGUCAAAAGGCCUCCCUCGUGUUUACAUAUUUUGACAGGUCGAGUUGUUCUGGGACUAGGAACAAUGAUGAAGAUAUAAAUUUAUCCAAAGAAAUAAUGAGACAAUGAAUGCUAAAAUUGCCAAGAAAAGACUGCCAUAUUUACACACCAUUUUAUACAGAUGAUCAUCUGAAGGGCCACAAUUGUUUGAAGCAUUGGUCAACAAAAACUGAACUAUUUGAUGGAUCAUACAUGUGCAGAAUGUACUACCAUAUUACCAGAAUCAGAGAAAUAGAAAUAUCAAAUAUUAGGGAGAAAGAAAAGUAUGCAUCAUGUAUGAAGAACUGCCUAAGAAUAAUUUGCAAAAUACAUUGAAAAUUGCUAAUUGCAUAAUGCAUAUGGAAGUUAAGAAAGGUGUACUCUUCUGGAAAAUAUGUGUCCAGUGCAACAUUUUUUUUCAAUUUUGUGAGCAUAAUUCUACAUAAAAAUUGUAGCAUGGCUACAGGGAUAAUACAAAAGGUGUAAUCUUAUUUCCAAACACAUUAGGGGAAUCAGAGAAGAAACAACAAGAAUUAGGGAAAAUGAAAUAAUUGUCAUGAAUGAAGAACUUGCUUUUUAUUAAUUUACAAAAUACUUUGAAGCUUCACAACUGUUAAUGAUAUUAUGAUAUCAUGAAUAUGGAAGUUUAGAAGUGUGCAUUUUGAUUAAUCUUCAACUGCCCUGAGCAUAGUUCUACAUAAAAUUUAUAACUUUAUAAAAUAGUGGGGGUUCGUUUUGGGGAGGCUGCGCUUUUGGUGCGUGGCAUUCCCUGUUUGAUAUUUUUCUUUGUUUGUAGAAAAAGUGUAAGACUUUCAUACUUGUUUUAUAGGAAAUGUUUCUGAAUGCUUUUAAUGUAAAUUUGCUAGACCCAGACCCCUAGCUCCUAAGUCAAGGUUACACUUAGAUGUCAGAUGUUAAAAGGGUCUGUUACUGGUCAAUAACUCUGCCAUACAUAAAGGGAUUUUGGAAUUACUUGGCAUACAUGUUCACCAUAAAGAGACAACGUGUUAUGCACAAGACCCAAACCCUUGCUCCAAGAUCAAGGUCACACUUAGAAGUCAAAGGUUAAUAGAGUUUUUUCCCUGUCCGGUCAAUAACUCUGCGAUGCUUGAAGGGACUUUUAGAUAACUUGGCUUAAAUGUUCACCAUAAUGAAACAAGGUGUCAUGCCCAAGACCAAGACCCCUAACUCUAAGGUCACACUUAGAGGCCAAAAGUCAGAUACAAAAAUGACUUUGUCCGGAGCAUUUCUUGUUCAUGCAUGGAGGGAUUUUGAUGUACAAUGGCAAAAAUGUUCUUCAUCAUGAGAUGGAGUGUAAUGAGUAAGAACCAGGCCCCUAAUCCUUUGCUGUUACUAUAAAUACCUAUUACUGUAAAGUUCUAUUCUAUUAACCAUUAUCAUGCUGAACAUGAUUUAUUCUGUCUUUGCGACCAGUGUAGAUCAUGAUCAGCCUGCACAUCCAUGCAGUCUGAUGAUGAUCAGCACUGUUCACCAUUCAAUCAGUAUAUUUUGGUAAGCAUCCCUUUUAACAGUUAAUGUUACUGUCCUAAUUGAAAAAUGGACAAGUUCAUUAUAGAAAUUCAACAGGGUAAGGGUUAAUAUUAGCCAUAGGGGAAAAUUGGGACUACUUUUCUGUAGAACAACACGCAUGUUUGAUCCAAUUUUUGAUGUAUUUUGCCUGAUAAGUACUUUUGUGUGGACUUAGAUUUUUUCCCCGCUAUAUAUAUAUAUAGCGGGGAAAAAAGAUUGAAGGAAAUGCCUUUUGUGAUAUUACAUGGUUUAAUUCAGUAAAAUAUAUAAGUUAAAAAUCUCAACCGGUUUCAUCAUUAAUAUGGAUCUUCAGGAGUACAUAUAUAUAUAUAUGUAUGUGUGUGUUAACUUUUACAAUUGACCGUAGUGAAAAUUCAAGACCAUUUUCCUGUGUUACUUUCAUAUUUUAGGUGUAUUUUAAGGUACCUCUUCCUGGUAAGGAGUUUUUUUGUGGACUUAAAAAAAUUAAAACUUACUUCCCUUUGUUGCUACUAUAAAACGAUUAUUCUUCAAACUUUUUAUCCUGGUUGUUAGAAUUGGAUAUGUCAUUGUUUUGGCUUACUGUCUACCAAACUUAUAGUUUUGUACAGAAAAUGUUUUAUUAUAUCAUCGACGAGCAUAUAUUUAACAUCCUGGCACUGUUGCUUUAUUUUGUUCAUGCCAAGAUGCUGUAUUGGCAUACAGUAUGUAUGAUGACGUUGCUAACUGUUACAAAUUCUUGUUGUAUUUUUCCGAAGUUGUUGCCCUACUUGAUCUUGAACUAAUUCAUCACAUCGUAAACUCGUGAACUUAAGUCGAACAGAUUCAUCCAACUGAAUUGAAACUAGGUAUACAUCAGCAGCAUGAAAUGAAUAUGUACACGUUGUCCUGACUUUUAUGAUCGAUUAUUUUGUCUGGAGUUGUGGCCCUUCUUUAACGACGAAUGACAGCUACUUUGUAGUUUCCUUCUCUUCAUUUCAAACACAACUUGUUAAGCAUCAUAAACAUUAUGUAGACAUGCGCUUUUGUUUUGUGGUCAGUUGUUUAACUUAUAUAUAUUUUUUCCUUAAUAACAUUAUUGACCCGUCGUUAUUAUAAAUUAUUGAAUGAAACAUUUUUGUCGACACAAUCUAGUUCGCUAUGCAACCUCUGUGAAGGAAUAUUGUCAAACUAUACCGAUAAGGGUAAGAGUUUGCUUCCUUUAAUUUUGUAGCACAACUUUCUAUGCAUAAUUGUGUCUUGCUCAUAUAUAUAAAACUUUUAUUUGUGUGAACAUGCAUGAAUUUGCUAUACUGCAAAA